GCCCUGGUGGUCUAGUUGUUAAGAUUCGGCACUCUCACUGCCAUGGCCUGGGUUCAUUUCCUGGCCAGUGAA
rnacentral:tRNA from 1 species